rnacentral:tRNA from 1 species
AUAGCUAAAGUGGUAGAGUGCUUGCCUAGUAAGCAAGAGGCCCUGAGUUCAAUUCUCAGU